rnacentral:rRNA from 1 species
CCCUAUGGGGUGCAGCAGGCGAGAAAACUUCGCAAUGUGCGAAAGCACGACAAGGUUAAUCCGAGUGGUUUCUGCUAAAGGAACCUUUUGUCAGUCCUAGAAACACUGAUGAAUAAGGGGUGGGCAAGUUCUGGUGUCAGCCGCCGCGGUAAAACCAGCACCUCAAGUGGUCAGGAUGAUUAUUGGGCCUAAAGCAUCCGUAGCCGGCUCUGUAAGUUUUCGGUUAAAUCUGUACGCUCAACGUACAGGCUGCCGGGAAUACUGCAAAGCUAGGGAGUGGGAGAGGUAGACGGUACUCGGUAGGAAGGGGUAAAAUCCUUUGAUCUAUUGAUGACCACCUGUGGCGAAGGCGGUCUACCAGAACACGUCCGACGGUGAGGGAUGAAAGCUGGGGGAGCAAACCGGAUUAGAUACCCGGGUAGUCCCAGCUGUAACCCAUGCAAACUCAGUGAUGCGUUGGCUUGUGGCCAAUGCAGUGCUGCAGGGAAGCCGUUAAGUUUGCCGCCUGGGAAGUACGUACGCAAGUAUGAAACUUAAAGGAAUUGGCGGGGGGAGCACCACAAGGGGUGAAGCCUGCGGGUUCAAUUGGAGUCAACGCCAGAAAUCUUACCCCCGAGAGACAGCAGAAUGAGAGUGCAAGCUUGAAGACUUUACCCGACAGCUGAGAAGGAGGUGCAUGGCCAAGGCGAAUCAGCAACUGGCGGCGU